AACGAACGCUGGCGGCAGGCCUAACACAUGUAAGUCGAACGCCGUAGCAAUACGGAGUGGCAGACGGGUGAGUAACGCGUGGGAACCUUCCCUAUGGUUCGGAAUAGCUCAGGGAAACCUGGGGUAAUACCGGAUAAGCCCUUCGGGAGAAAGAUUUAUCGCCAUUGGAUGGGCCCGCGUCGGAUUAGCUAGUUGGUGAGGUAACGGCGCACCAAGGCGACUAUCCGUAGCUGGUCUGAGAGGAUGAUCAGCCACACUGGGACUGAGACACGGCCCAGACUCCUACGGGAGGCGGCAGUGGGGAAUAUUGGACAAUUGGCGAAAGCCUGAUCCAGCAAUGCCGCGUGAGUGACGAAGGCCUUAGGGUUUUAAAGCUCUUUUGGCGGGGAAGAUAAUGACGGUACCCGCAGAAGAAGCUCCGGCUAACUUCGUGCCAGCCGCCGCGGUAAUAC
rnacentral:rRNA from 1 species